AGUGACGGUACCGCUAAAGGAAGCCCCGGCUAACUCCGUGCCAGCAGCCGCGGUAAUACGGGGGGGGCAAGCGUUGUUCGGAAUUACUGGGCGUAAAGGGCUCGUAGGCGGUUUGUCGCGUCUGCUGUGAAAACUGGAGGCUCAACCUCCAGCCUGCAGUGGGUACGGGCAGACUCGAGUGCGGUAGGGGAGAUUGGAAUUCCUGGUGUAGCGGUGGAAUGCGCAGAUAUCAGGAGGAACACCGAUGGCGAAGGCAGAUCUCUGGGCCGUAACUGACGCUGAGGAGCGAAAGCAUGGGGAGCGAACAGGAUUAGAUACCCUGGUAGUCCAUGCCGUAAACGUUGGGAACUAGAUGUAGGGACCAUUCCACGGUUUCUGUGUCGCAGCUAACGCGUUAAGCACCCCGCCUGGGGAGUACGGCCGCAAGGUUG
rnacentral:rRNA from 1 species